rnacentral:rRNA from 1 species
GUGUCAGCAGCCGCGGUAAUACCGGCAGCCCGAGUGAUGGCCGAUCUUAUUGGGCCUAAAGCGUCCGUAGCUGGCCACGCAAGUCCAUCGGGAAAUCCACCUGCCCAACAGGUGGGCGCCCGGUAGAAACUGCGUGGCUUGGGACCGGAAGGCGCGACGGGUACGUCCGGGGUAGGAGUGAAAUCCCGUAAUCCUGGACGGACCGCCGAUGGCGAAAGCGCCUCAGGAGAACGGAUCCGACAGUGAGGGACGAAAGCUAGGGUCUCGAACCGGAUUAGAUACCCGCGUAGUCC